rnacentral:snoRNA from 1 species
UCCUAUGAUGGCAUGGAAUCUUUGAGACCUGAUUCUCUGAUUUGAUGAAAACUACAAGCAUUAAAAAAAAAAAGAU